UGGGGAAUAUUGCACAAUGGGCGCAAGCCUGAUGCAGCCAUGCCGCGUGUGUGAAGAAGGCCUUCGGGUUGUAAAGCACUUUCAGCGGGGAGGAAGGCGUUAAGGUUAAUAACCUUGGCGAUUGACGUUACCCGCAGAAGAAGCACAGGCUAACUCCGUGCCAGCAGCCGCGGUAAUACGGAGGGUGCAAGCGUUAAUCGGAAUUACUGGGCGUAAAGCGCACGCAGGCGGUCUGUCAAGUCGGAUGUGAAAUCCCCGGGCUCAACCUGGGAACUGCAUUCGAAACUGGCAGGCUAGAGUCUUGUAGAGGGGGGUAGAAUUCCAGGUGUAGCGGUGAAAUGCGUAGAGAUCUGGAGGAAUACCGGUGGCGAAGGCGGCCCCCUGGACAAAGACUGACGCUCAGGUGCGAAAGCGUGGGGAGCAAACAGG
rnacentral:rRNA from 1 species